UCUUCCCAAAACCCACACCCACACGCAAACCUCAAUUCUCUUUCUUCUUUUCUUUCCUUCUCUCCAUCUGUUACUAUUUUCCUUCUCUGGUCGUCUCUCUUCAUCUUCACCUCCCCCAACCCUAGCCGCCACCACAGUUCCUUCUCCCUUCAAUGCAACCCCUUCUCCAUUCUCUCAGAUUUAAAAAUUUUUUGUCUCUUCUUUAUGGCACUUCAGAUUCAGUUAUUUAGAUUUGUUCGCUCAUGGCUUCCAAUUUGCAAAAGGACAUUCCUUCUGGUGAAGCUGAUGUGUGAAUAUAAAGGUGUUCUACACAAAGUGCUCCCUAAAAUUCAACAGGUAUGCUUUCUUAAAAUUGCUUGCUAUUUGUGAAAGUAAUAUGUAUUUGGUGCUUUUAUUGCAGAUUGUUAAAAUCAUGCAUGAUUUUUUUGUCGUUUGUUCAUAAUGGGGGUCUAUUGAGGGCCUCAAAAAGUCUUUAUAAAUCCACAGGGAAUUAAUUGGAUUGUUGCUCAUAGUGUUAAACUUGUGAUAUAACUGGAAAAUGACUAUUUUUUUAUAACACCUCAUAUAAUUAUGCUAUGUUGGCUGGAUAUUCACAAAUAAGAUUUCAAUAAUGGUUAGGAAGAUACCUUGCUGCAGCUGUAGAGAAUGUUGUCUCCAUACUUGAUGUCGAUACAGAAGCAUGUCGAUAUUCACUAAGGAUAAAGUUGCUUGACGUAAUUAUCUCCAUGGCGAGUUUGUAGACUUUGAUUUGUGGUCUCCUUGGUCUUCCUCCUUCAAAUGGAGUCCUUCCAGAGUUCCUCAUGCAUACAAAGAGUUUGGUAGUUCUUAGGAGGCAGCUUAUCCGAAAGAAGGUUGUGGAAAGCGUCAAGGAAUGCAUGGAACAACACAAUACCAGCUCUGAGUUAUACGGGAAAAUACAAGUUGUGUUCUUUGAAAUGGAUACGGCCCCUAGCGUAUGUAUUGUUGGAUUAUUAGCUCUGUGUUGGGGGCUGAUUCAGAUUAACGUAAAAGGAUGAUAUGCAGCUCUAUUAUUCCUGCAGCAACGAAGGCUAUUCUGUUGAAUCAUCGUUUUCAGUUACAGAAGUCCUUAAAAUGUCAGAUACGAAGUCAAAGCUUGACCGUUGAUCCUCGAAUGUUGAUCCGACCUAACCCGACAAAGCAUGAGUUGUGGGAGUAGACAAUUCAAGCCUAAUGGGCUGCUAACAGAGCAUACAUACAUACUAAAGAGAUUCAUGAGAAUUUGAUAUAGUACACAACACUUUGUUUUAUAUAUGUUACUAAUAAAUAAAACAAUUUAUACUGUAGAUUUCUUCUUAUAUGCUCCUUUUCCCCUCAAUUUUCACAGUAAAUAAGUGACAAAA